rnacentral:rRNA from 1 species
UACGAAGGUGGCUAGCGUUGUUCGGAUUUACUGGGCGUAAAGCGCGUGUAGGCGGGUGGUUAAGUUGGGGGUGAAAUCCCGGAGCUCAACCACGGAACUGCCUCCAAAACUGGCGACCUGGAGCAGAGGAGAGGCGAGUGGAAUUCCGAGUGUAGAGGUGAAAUUCGUAGAUAUUCGGAGGAACACCAGUGGCGAAGGCGACUCGCUGGACUCUUGCUGACGCUGAGACGCGAAAGCGUGGGGAGCAAACAGG